UUCAUGGUGGUUGACAUCGUUCGACCGUAUGGCGCCUUCGUGAGACGUUCCAGCACAGUACGUCCGGGUUUUAUUGCUGUGCGUCUCAGCGCCGAGAUG
rnacentral:tRNA from 1 species